rnacentral:rRNA from 1 species
UACGUAGGGUGCGAGCGUUGUCCGGAAUUAUUGGGCGUAAAGAGCUCGUAGGCGGUGUGUCACGUCGUUCGUGAAAACCUGCAGCUUAACUGUGGGCGUGCGGUCGAUACGGGCAUCACUGGAGUUCGGCAGGGGAGACUGGAAUUCCUGGUGUAGCGGUGAAAUGCGCAGAUAUCAGGAGGAACACCGGUGGCGAAGGCGGGUCUCUGGGCCGAUACUGACGCUGAGGAGCAAAAGCGUGGGGAGCAAACAGG